UACGUAGGGUGCGAGCGUUGUCCGGAAUUAUUGGGCGUAAAGAGCUUGUAGGCGGUCUGUCGCGUCUGCUGUGAAAAUCCGGGGCUCAACCCCGGACUUGCAGUGGGUACGGGCAGACUAGAGUGUGGUAGGGGAGACUGGAAUUCCUGGUGUAGCGGUGAAAUGCGCAGAUAUCAGGAAGAACACCCGUGGCGAAAGCGGCUCUCUGGGACGGUACUGACGCUGAGACGCGAAAGCGUGGGGAGCGAACAGG
rnacentral:rRNA from 1 species